rnacentral:rRNA from 1 species
AGCAGCCGCGGUAAUUCCAGCUCCAAUAGCGUAUAUUAAAGUUGUUGCAGUUAAAAAGCUCGUAGUUGAAUUUCGGGGUCAGUAGGUUGGUCAUGCCUCCGGUAUGUACUGGUCUCACUGAUUCCUCCUUCCUGAUGAGCCGUAAUGCCAUUAAUUUGGUGUUGCGGGGAAUCUGGACUGUUACUUUGAAAAAAUUAGAGUGUUUAAAGCAGGCUAACGCUUGAAUACAUUAGCAUGGAAUAAUGGAAUAGGACGUUCGAUCCUAUUUUGUUGGUUUCUAGGAUUGACGUAAUGAUUAAUAGGGAUAGUUGGAGGCAUUAGUAUUCAAUUGUCAGAGGUGAAAUUCUUGGAUUUAUUGAAGACUAACUACUGCGAAAGCAUUUGCCAAGGAUGUUUUCAUUAAUCAAGAACGAAAGUUAGGGGAUCGAAGACGAUCAGAUACCGUCGUAG